ensembl:lncRNA LINC01128 long intergenic non-protein coding RNA 1128
AAUUCACUGGGUCACAGUGUGAUAGUGUGAAGAUGGGAGGACGUUAAGGGAAGGCUAUGGGUGAGUUGGGAAAUGUGUUAGGCAGGGUCAGAGAUUACCACAUCCUAAAAACAACACUUAAGGAGGGAGAUGACAAAACAAUCAAUGAAUAACAUGACUUUUUCCAGUGAAAGUGCCAUAUCUAAUCCUUUUCCAUUUUUGUUCUCUGAGCUUCUUUCUUAGGGAAGAUCCUUCUUGAGAAGCCCCUGCUGAGUAUUAGGAAAAUGCAUUUCAGGACCUCUCAUCAACACAUCCUCUUUCUUUACCACAACCACAUAUAUGGGGGCAUAACUCAACAUGUGUAAAAGACAAUCUUCUGCUUUUCACUGAACCUCCAGGAAUUCAGGACAAUAAACGUCUACAUGGAGACCAACAGUUUCCAUCAUUAUCUUCUAUGGAGUUCUUCAUUCCCACAUCUGUGGACCUUAAAAUCCUACCGUUGAGUGCCUGCCUUGGAUCAGCAGUCAGUUCGUUACCUUGGUUCUCAGACGAUGCUUGCAACAACGCCAUGCGAUUCGCCCACUCUUGGAGAAAAUAAGAGAAGUAUCCCUGAAGGAUGAAAUAUCCUCGAAUAUGAAAAGGUCUGCUCUCUGAAGACCAACUGUCUCAGUCUGCUUUUUGCUGCUGUAACAGAAUAC